rnacentral:misc_RNA from 1 species
GGGGGGUGUUAGAGGGUGUGGUUUUUGGGGGAAGGAAGUAGAGCUUCCUGAUUGUCUGUUUCACACCACCAUUAUUAAAUACACCUAAAAUAGGUUAAAAGUUCUGGAAUACAAUUUUGAAUUUAAAUUCAUGUGAUCUAUUUUUCCAAUAAGCAAAUACAGUGGACUGUUGCAGUAUCCUCCCUGUUAUACUCAAGAUUUUUGAGACUAAAAUAGCAUUCAUGACAAAUGUG